rnacentral:lncRNA from 1 species
GUUGUACAGAUGGUUCAACACACACAAAUCAAGGAAUGUGAUAUACUACAUCAGCAGAAUUAAGAAAAAAAUAUGUAUCUCAAUGAAUGUAGAAAGAGCGGUUUAUAAAAUUCAGCAUUUCUUCAUGAUUAAAACACUCAUCAGGUUAGGUAGAGAAGGAACACGCCUUAAAACAAUAAAGGCGUUGCGGGGGGAGGCGGAUUUCCAAGAUGGCGGAAUAGGAAUAGCUCUGAAGUGCAGUUCCCAGGGAGAGCAACACAAAGGACACGGAGCAUAUUCACACAUUCUCCAGGGGCAACGAAUCCAGUUCUCAUCCAGCUACUUAAAACAGCUGAAGAUAAAAGAUGACAAGCAUGGAAUUAGUGGAUUUUCAUUUCAAAAUAUCACGAAUUUGGAUGGAUAUUUCACCUCUGGGUACAAUAUGUGGCUGAGUCUGCUGGGUGAUAGCUGGUCCAGAAAGAAGAUGGAGAAAUAGGAUCUUAAUUAACAGUUCUAUCAAUCUACCAAUGCCAAUUUGAG